rnacentral:lncRNA from 1 species
AAGGAGAUGUCUCUGCAUUUGGUGAUGGACCUGAAUAAAGCCACAGUAGACUAGCAAGAACAGUAGUCAGUCAGAAAGCAAAGCCAAACAUGAAUUAGCAGAAGCAGAUACAAGAGAACAAACUGUAAUCUAUGGAGCCAAGUUGAGAACUAAUGGGAACAAACCCAAAAGGACAAACUGGAACAUGCUUGGUCUCUCUGUUUCCCCCAUCCACUGCACAGGUGAACUGCAGAAGCCAUCUGUGCCUUUACUGCAGAGCAGCACGUACCAGGCUCAGGAUUCAGGAAAGAUGAAGGAGCUGGCAACAGCCGCAGGAGCUGGGAGCCUGGGGACUUGCCCCAGUCGACAGAGUGAACCAGCCCAGCCCCCAAAACACGCAGGUGCAGCAGCAGAACCUGGCACCCCGCACCCACUGGCAUAGCGUUCUCUCUGCUGUUUCGCUGCUUCCUCUCAACUCACACCAAGUUCUCUUGUUGCCAAGAGCCAGAGCCAGGAAUUCUGGGAAACAUAGUUCAAGCUGAAUCAAAUCAGCACAACUUAAAAUGGCAAUCAAAACAGCAAGGAUGCCAGUGUGGCUAGAGUGUGGGGGAAAGCACUAAGGGAUGAGGACUGUAGAAGUGUAGUUCGAACAAACCACACCUGGGCAUUAACUCAUGAUUCCUUCUACAUUGUCCAGAAACAGCCCACCAAAUCUAGUGUCUUAGCUAUCUGGGCUGAGGAAGUACCUUCAAAAUACAACAAGUGGGCCAGCGCCCUUAAUCCCAGAAACUUGGGAGGCUGAGGCAGGAAAAUGGCAAGUUCAAGGCCAGCCUGGGCAAC